rnacentral:tRNA from 1 species
GGGCUGGGGCUCAGUGGUAGAGCGCUCGCUUAGCACACGUGAGGCCCUGGGGGCCCUGGGUACAAUCCUCAGCACCACA